CUUUGUCUUUUGGCUCUUUAGGCCAAAUUGGGAUCGGUUACUUUCUUGGUAAAGUUCAGAGCUUUCUACCUUUCCAUGAGUUUCCUCAAUUUACAGUAUUGAUUCCUAUUUUACUUGGCUUGAAAGGAAAUAUAGAUAUGACUUUGGUUUCAAGAUUGACAACGGCUUUUGGAAAUUCCAAUGCGCCUUAUGAGAAAAAUAUUGGGAAACUUUUUGUUAUAAACUUAAUAAUAGUUCAGUGUGGCUUCCAUUUUAGCGUUUACUUAUGGCUUCAUUUUCCAUGGAGAUGGCGAUCUCUGGAGUCUGGAGAAGCUUGUUAUAAGCGGCGUCUUGUCCGGCUCGUUGUCUUCUGCAGUAAUGGGCUUCAUCACGUGCUUUGUAGUCGCGUGGAGCCGCUUUGCCCACGUGGAUCCUGAUAAUUUUGCCUUGCCUAUUUUGGCUAGUUUGGGCGACUUCUGCAUUUUGGCCUUUUACGGCUCGUUUGCCCGGGGAUUGUUCGGUCUCGGAUCGGUCGCCCACCGCGAGUUUGCAUGUUUAUUAAAUGUUUUACUUCUUCUUCUUACGGCUCUUUGGACUUUCCUCGCUAUCAAUAUAAAACCUUGUAAGGAAGUCUUAAGUAAAGAUUGGGCUCCGCUGCUCCUUUCUAUGCUUAUUUCAAGCGGAGCUGGUCUUCUUCUAGAGCAUUCGGUUGACAGAAAUCCGGAGCUCACGUUUUUUCUUCCAGUUAUUAGUGGCCUUGGAGGAAACUUUGGGGCGUUGAACGCUUCCAAACUUUCCACGUGGGCAAAGAAGUUAAAGAAUGCUCCGGAAAAAUUUUCUCACUUGGCGAUUUCGUCGUGCUUAAAUUUACAAUUUUUGGUGCUUCCCGUAACAAUUGCUUCAAUAUUUUUGGUUGUGCACAUCAACAAUAUAAAGUUUGAUUUAUUACUUUCCAGUCUCUUUUUUGUUUCCGCUGAAA